rnacentral:lncRNA from 1 species
UUACCAUUACCUGCUUCCUAUAUCUAUGCUUCUCACUACACUUUUCUAGCUUAAUACCUUUUAAAAAGCCUUAGAACACUAAUAAAAAAGCUUAAGGUCACCACUUUCACACCAGCAGAACCGAGUGUGCAAACCUGAAGAGAACGUAUCUGAGAAAAAAAGUAUUUCAAAUAAAGAUCUUUCAUUCUUUUCUUGUUGCUUUCCAAAGGAAUGUUAUUAGGAUAAACUGAGUAGUAAGGCAUGGCCUUGGGGAUGGAGCACUGAAGGUGCACUUCUCAACACCUUAGCAUCCUGAUUCCUCAAACUCUGUUCCAGCUGCCAUCUGCCCUACACUUACAGAUGUCCUUUCCUUAGAAAGGAGAAUAGGAUAUGCGAAGGACAGGGAAGAGUGCCUAUGAAAGUCCCACCCUGGCAGAAAAACUGGGCUCCAGUGGUUCUGAAGUUUUAUCCUGUUUAGAUGCAGCUAUUCUCAGAGGAUUGUGAUGAAGAGAAGGGAUUUGACGUCUGAGAAGGCUCAUCCAGAUAUUCAUGUGGAAACAUGCAGAGUGGGAGCAGCUCAACACACCACAUUAGAACCAAAGCCCUUCAGAAUUUCUACUGAUAGGAGAUAGCCAGCAGCUUCUAGAGGCACUGUUUGGUACUUAAAUGCAUGUCUAAAUGCAGAAACCUGACAUUAGCCACUGAAGAUAUUUAGAGAAACUUCCUUGCAAUAUCAUCAUACCUCAAUCAGGUCAAGGAGUAUGUAACUGCAAUUUCUUCUCUGCUCAGACAGCUUUAAAGGGCUUAGGUUAAUACAAACUACAGUGAUGAUUAUUCUGAAUUGAAGACUUGUCUCUAGGACCAAAAUACUUUCUUUUUAGGAACACUAAGGAGUCUGAUAUAUUGUACCUAAAUGCAUAUGCCAUCUGUCCUGGUCAUCAUAGUCAUAUGUUCCAUCAUUUAAUAUUGCCACAUUCCACAAGUUGCUUUACAAGUUAAAUUGAUUGGGAUGACCCAUAUAAGCUGUGAAAAUCUACAGGUCAGUGUGGAAGAAAGCAGCAAGGAGCAACAAGAAGCAUUCCUGCCCAAAGAAAACAUGCUCCCCACUACAGAUUUGGUAUGUAGGAAAUGAAGAACUGUACCUCCCUUUCCCCUCAGUACUCACAUUAAUUUUGAGAGGCAUAUCACAGCUCAGCAGCCACCACUGAAGAGAUGGAAAGAAAGCAAGUGGACAAGAGGCAAAGAGGCAUUUGCAGAUAGCAUGAAGCAGUGGAGGGCUGAAAGAGUUUGAAGACAAACUUCUUCAGAGGGAGUUCCCAUUGCCAAAUCAUCCAUGUUGAGACUGUGGGAGGGGUGAGAAGGUCAGUGCCACACAUGGCAAGAAGGCAACACUGUAGAAGGCAGUGUCCGAACAAACUGAGGGAAUGAGGGGAUGGCUGUGAUGUGGUGGCUGUACUUUGCAUAUUAGAGAAAGCAUUGAUGAGAAAAUACACUAUUUGGAGUGCUGGAAUUGAUGGCAGGAGAACAAAAACAAGUCAGAGUUGAAAGGAGACAAAGGGAUC